CGCUGACGAGCGGCGGACGGGUGAGUAAUACUUAGGAAUCUACCUAGUAGUGGGGGAUAGCUCGGGGAAACUCGAAUUAAUACCGCAUACGACCUACGGGAGAAAGGGGGCAACUUGUUGCUCUCGCUAUUAGAUGAGCCUAAGUCGGAUUAGCUAGAUGGUGGGGUAAAGGCCUACCAUGGCGACGAUCUGUAGCUGGUCUGAGAGGAUGAUCAGCCACACCGGGACUGAGACACGGCCCGGACUCCUACGGGAGGCAGCAGUGGGGAAUAUUGGACAAUGGGGGCAACCCUGAUCCAGCCAUGCCGCGUGUGUGAAGAAGGCCUUUUGGUUGUAAAGCACUUUAAGCAGUGAAGAAGACUCCAUGGUUAAUACCCAUGGACGAUGACAUUAGCUGCAGAAUAAGCACCGGCUAACUCUGUGCCAGCAGCCGCGGUAAUACAGAGGGUGCAAGCGUUAAUCGGAAUUACUGGGCGUAAAGCGAGCGUAGGUGGCUUGAUAAGUCAGAUGUGAAAGCCCCGGGCUUAACCUGGGAACGGCAUCUGAUACUGUUAGGCUAGAGUAGGUGAGAGGAAGGUAGAAUUCCAGGUGUAGCGGUGAA
rnacentral:rRNA from 1 species